rnacentral:rRNA from 1 species
CAUCCUCCAAGGCUAAAUACUCCUGACUGACCGAUAGUGAACCAGUACCGUGAGGGAAAGGCGAAAAGAACCCCGGCGAGGGGAGUGAAAAAGAACCUGAAACCGUGUACGUACAAGCAGUGGGAGCACCCUUCGGGGUGUGACUGCGUACCUUUUGUAUAAUGGGUCAGCGACUUAUAUUCUGUAGCAAGGUUAACCGUAUAGGGGAGCCGGAGGGAAACCGAGUCUUAAUUGGGCGUUAAGUUGCAGGGUAUAGACCCGAAACCCGGUGAUCUAGCCAUGGGCAGGUUGAAGGUUGGGUAACACUAACUGGAGGACCGAACCGACUAAUGUUGAAAAAUUAGCGGAUGACCUGUGGCU